UGGGGAAUAUUGGACAAUGGGCGAAAGCCUGAUCCAGCCAUGCCGCGUGUGUGAAGAAGGCCUUUUGGUUGUAAAGCACUUUAAGCGAGGAGGAGGCUACUAGUACUAAUACUACUGGAUAGUGGACGUUACUCGCAGAAUAAGCACCGGCUAACUCUGUGCCAGCAGCCGCGGUAAUACAGAGGGUGCGAGCGUUAAUCGGAUUUACUGGGCGUAAAGCGUGCGUAGGCGGCUGAUUAAGUCGGAUGUGAAAUCCCUGAGCUUAACUUAGGAUUUGCAUUCGAUACUGGUCAGCUAGAGUAUGGGAGAGGAUGGUAGAAUUCCAGGUGUAGCGGUGAAAUGCGUAGAGAUCUGGAGGAAUACCGAUGGCGAAGGCAGCCAUCUGGCCUAAUACUGACGCUGAGGUACGAAAGCAUGGGGAGCAAACAGG
rnacentral:rRNA from 1 species